rnacentral:vault_RNA from 1 species
ACACUGGUUUGGCUCAGUGGAUACUUCGAACAACAAUUCUUCUCAAGAAUUUAAUGCUCUCAUCCCUCCGCGGGAUCGAACCACGGGCGCUGUCCAGUGUUUUU